AGCGGACGUUAAACGAUGAUGAUGAUGAUGAUGAUGAUAUAUAUAUAUAUGUAUAUAUAUAUAUAUAUCAUCAUCAUCAUCAUCAUCAUCGUUUAAC
rnacentral:pre_miRNA from 1 species